GUUCAAAUCCUAUUGGACGCA
rnacentral:tRNA from 1 species